CUGGUGUAGAAAUUAAAAUCUGGCUUCGUUCUGACUAAUGAAAUGCUCUCCACUAAUGGCACCUAGCCAAAUGGUACCUGUGCUGGGUUAAUAAUAAGAGCUACUUGUUUGCUGAGUGCAGAUAUCCUGAAGUAAUAAAUGUGAGUCUGUGUUUGCAAAAGUAAUCUAGCUUUUCCAGUAUAUUACUCUAGCAAAUUAAUUUUCUUAGAUACAGAUAUCGCCUCGCAGUAUGGAUAUUAAUCUGGAAUGGACAUAGAAAGGGGACUUUGCUACGUCAUUUUUCCAAUGUGGGACCUUGCAGAACAUCACGACAGAUAAGAGAAUUUGUUUGAGAUGACAAUUGCUUGCUGUUCUCUAGUGAACUCUUUGUGUUUAGACAUCCUCAGGCUUUGAUACGAUGGCAGUUGAGGUCAAUUAAACCUCCAUCACAGAGCCCCAAGCCCUGCUCUCUGCAGAAACAAAGGAAUGCUCUCUUCGGGGAAGC